ACGUGUAAUUUCAGAGUAACGUAACCUGUUAUAUUCGGUUACAUUGCUGUUACACUGCUGCUAUAUUACUGUGUUCACUGGGGAUUGUACACCGAACCCCAAUUACUUUCUCGAGGAGUUCUGUAAAUAUAUGCGUCUUGUCCGACCGGUUCCCGUUACGCAUAAGCACAAAAAACGCGCCUUUUACUUCAAAGAUUUAUAUAAUUGCGUUUUUUUACGUGUUUUUACGUAACAUGGCUAAGAAAGCGCUAGAGCGAUCGUAUACCGGCCCGUAUAAGAUUAUAACGCGUCUCGGAUCGUAUGUUCAACAUCAAUUAACGGAAAUCCCAAGAGCGUGUCCGUCGAACUAUUAAAAUCAGCGUAUUUCAUCUCUGACGAUUCCAUAUGCGCUCCUAUACCCUCCGAGAAGACACACGAUCAAGACAUAAUUCCGAACCCGCCCGCACCUAAGACGUAUUCUCGUAAAAGGGUCACAUUUGCGCCGGCAACCAAACAAAGCAUAAUCCAAUCAAAAGACUGAAAAUGUAAUUAUAUAUCUCAUAUUUUAUAUUAUUAGCUGUAAGUUAUAUUAUUAGCUGUAAGUUAUAUUAUUCACCAUAAAGUUACCCAAAGUACGUACAAGCGUACACAAGUUAAGAUAUCCUGGCCAACCUUGUGCAAUAGCACAAAAUAUAACGCAUAAGCAUAUCCGUUCAUUUAAUUUUUAAUCGCAACAUAAACAUUUAUUUCAUCAACACUCGGGAGGGAGUGUGUAGGGAGCGCUAGCUCUGUCUUCCCCCAUAGAGGUUGGCCAGACUGUAAAGAGAAAGAGAGACGUGUAGACGCAAUAUACGCGUGGCUGUGAAUAAAGCUGCUGUUUGUAAUAAUUUCGGUGGUUUGCCAUUCACCCGAAUUCUUCCCGCUAUAAUGUCGGAAGUAGGCCGACUACGAGGAGCGCACACGGCCCCCCGGCGUCUUGCUCAACCUACACCGUUUCCGUAUCUUAAGUAAAACCUAAGAUUCUGCCAAUUAUUCUUACAUCAUUCGGACAAAUGUUCUUCUUAAAAUUUAAAAAAACGUAAAGAAUAAUUGAAAGAUAAUAUAAGUUUAUAAAAGCUGAAGAAAUUUUCACAAGGAUUAAAACAGAAAACUGAACUCAAAUGGAAGUCACUAUUAUGUUCUGAUAAUUUCGGAUUUUAUAAAACUAUAGGAGACGUAAUUGACGUUGAGAUUGUGAUUGACAUCUGGAGCAGGGCAAAAUUUAGUUCAACAUUACGUGAAGUUUAUUUAAUGUUUUUUUCUUAUUUUCCCUCGUUUUUUAUUAAAAAUUAUUUUUAAAAUAUAUUUACUAAUAAUCAUAAAAAGUAUAAUAUAUAUACAUUUGUUUAGAUAUAAGCUUAUUUUGUUGAUAAAUAUAUGUUAAAUAUAUUAAAGUUUAUUAAAAAGACUAUUUUUAAUGUUAUCUUUUUUCUUCAUAAUUAUAUAUCUAUCCUUUAUAAUUUUAGCACUCACAAUUUCCAGAAAGUUAAGUUCUUAAAUUAGUUUUACAUAAAACAACGAAACUGCAUUCAAAGAGUAUUUUUUGUUUUAUGUGAAAUUAAUUUAAGUACUUGACCUUCUGGGAAUUAUGUGCUAAAAUAUAUACAUGUACAUAUAUAACAACACUGUAAUUAUUUUUUAUAACAGCAAUAUAAUAGUCUAUAUUGCCAUUACAAAACAUCUCGGUUAUGGUUAUAUAACAGUUCAGUUCUGUUAUAUUUAUGUUAUAUAACUACAACAUCACACAAGUGGGAAAUUAUAACUAACAGGAAUGUUACAUGUAACGUUCAUGUAAUAUUAUCUGUUACAUUCCGUUUUAUUGCAGCAAUGUAAUGGUUAUAUGUAUAUUGGUGUUUGCUGGGAUGAUUUGUAUUAUAAACACAUGAAAAAUAUUUUAAUUUAUGUUUGUAAAAUUAUUAAGUGUUUAGAUUUUAUGUAUUAAAUAAUUAAUAUUUUAAGAAUAUUUAUUAAAUUAUGUUAUGUUUAAUAACAUUUAAAACAUGUAUGUAACUCAUGUUUUUAAAAUUGAGGACAGUAUAUUAUUCAGUAAUAUUUUAAAGAUAUUUAUCAAACGUUAUGUCACAACGUUUGAUAACAUUUAAAAAAUACAUUAAUGUUUUUUAAAUAUUUUAAUAAUAUUAGGACAGCAAUACUAUUGAGUAAUAUUUUAAAAAUUGUAUUUAUCAAACAUUAUGUCAUAACGUUUAAAAACAUUUAAAUAACAUCUAAUAAAUGUUUUUAAAAUAUUUUAAUAAUAUUAAGACAGCAACAUUAUUAAGUAACGUUUUAAAAAUAUUUAUGAAAUGUUAAGUUAUAAUGUUAAGAAAUUUCUCUAAAUAACGUUUCAAAAACGUUGAUCAAUGUUUCUUGCUUAUUAAGUAUAUUAUUGCAAAUUCAUUGCAAUAUUCUCAAAUGUGAACAUUUCAUUAUUUCUGAAAUUUAAUAGCAGUGAUACAUCAACAUUUCGCAGUGUAAUUGCAAUAUUGUAUUACUGCCAUGAAAAAUUGUUACAAUAAACGUAAUCUUUCAUAUUGUAUCCUGUAUAAGAAUAUUACAAUAAUUUUGCAAUAUUAUUGUAAUAUUAUGCACCGUGUGGGUUAAUAAAAAACCAAAUAUAUUGUGUAUAAACCAAGACAGAUAUUUGAAAGUAUUGUACAUUUAUUUGGUGGAAUUCUUUCUUAAUGCUAUCUACGGUACAUACACAUACUCGCGUACACACAUACAUACAUAACAUCUAAAGGCGAAAUAAAAUGGAAAUUACAUAACAGACAUAAGUGAUUGAACUAAAUAAAAAAUAUAUGUGUGAUACAAUAUAGAUAUGUCGACAUAAAUUUUUUUGCACUGAUAUUGUUAACAAUAUAUUAUGGCUGCGUUUCAAAAUUCACUGUCAGUACUGAGAAUCUAUAGUUCGUGUUAUUAUAGAUUUUCAGUACUGGCAGUAAAUUUCAGAACGUAUCCUAUAUAGCAUAUGUCUCAUACAAUGUAUUACUAACAAUGUAUUACUAAUGUAUAGCUAAACAAUUACAACGAUAAUAAAAACUUACGUAAUGAGAAUUAUCAUAAUACUUAAUGUAUGUUGUCAUAUUAAUAUUUACAUUAUAUGAAAUACAUAUAACAUCGUUGUCGAAAUUAUACGAUACUAUAGGUAAUGCAAUUGAAAUAGACGUCGUCCUUUAUGCUCGAUUUUUCGAACCUUAUUAAAUACGAAGAGUCUUUUCCUUAAGCGCAGAGAUACGACGCUUUUGAACAUUACAUUCUUUGGAACGUUCUAAAACUGAAUCAGUAGACGGUACUGUCUACGUGGAAGUUACUUCAAUAUCUCGUUCACCAAAUAUAUUUUCCUUUUUUUUUCUGUUACAUGAAAUCAUUAAAGGUUGAUAUGAAGCGACUUAUGGCGAAUUCGAUUGAAUGCACCAGUGCGCACUAAGUGCGACCUCGUUUAGUGCAGUUUAGUUUUUCUCAUUUUGAAUACAAGUACAUAUUUUAAAUAACAGAAUACGAAAUACUAAACGAGGGCGCACUAGUGCACACUGGUGCACCCAACCGAAUCGCCAUUAGAUUUUCAUACGCUGAGCGAUCAGUGAUGAAUAUAUCGUUGAAAUCUCAUAAUAUUCGAUAGGAGUUUAUAUAUUGAUAACGAUAGCGUUUAAUGAUACUGUGU